rnacentral:rRNA from 1 species
GGAAAAAGAACCCAACAGGGAUUKCCUCAGUAAACGGCGAGUGAAAGCGGCAACAGCCUCAAAUUUGAAAUCUGGCUCUUUUCGGGGUCCGAGUUGUAAUUUAUAGAGAGUGUUUCGGGCGAGAUNCACGGUCUAAGUUCAUUGGAAACAYGGCGUCAUAGAGGGUGAGAAUCCCGUAUGUGACUGUGGAUCGAGCCCAUGUGAAGCCUCUUCGAUGAGUCGAGUUGUUUGGGAAUGCAGCUCAAAAUGGGUGGUAAAUUUCAUCUAAAGCUAAAUACUGGCUGGAGACCGAUAGCGCACAAGUAGAGUGAUCGAAAGAUGAAAAGCACUUUGGAAAGAGAGUCAAACAGUACGUGAAAUUGUUGAAAGGGAAGCGCUUGCAACCAGACCUGUCCGUAGGUGAUCAGCCGCUGUUCUCAGUGGUGCACUCGCUCUGCGAUCAGGCCAGCAUCGGUUCGGGCGGUCGGAUAAAGGCCUUGGGAAUGUAGCUCCCUUCGGGGAGUCUUAUAGCCCUCGGUGCAAUGCGGCCAGCCGGGACCGAGGACCGCGCUUCGGCUAGGAUGCUGGCGUAAUGGUUGUAAGCGACCCGUCUUGAAACACGGACCAAGGAGUCUAACAUCUAUGCGAGUGUUUGGGUGUUAAACCCAUGCGCGGAAUGAAAGUGAACGGAGGUGAGAACCCUUAAGGGCGCAUCAUCGACCGAUCCAGAUGUCUUCGGAUGGAUUUGAGUAUGAGCAUAGCUGUUGGGACCCGAAAGAUGGUGAACUAUGCCUGAAUAGGGUGAAGCCAGAGGAAACUCUGGUGGAGGCUCGCAGCGGUUCUGACGUGCAAAUCGAUCGUCAAAUUUGGGUAUAGGGGCGAAAGACUAUCCAAC